rfam:Granulicatella adiacens ATCC 49175 genomic scaffold SCAFFOLD1, whole genome shotgun sequence.
AAAAGUUAAAAAUGAUAUUCCCGAAAGGAUGCACCAUGUGUAGAUGCCUUGUAACCGGAAUUGAAUGGGGGAAAAAGAAAUG